rnacentral:lncRNA from 1 species
CUGGGGCUGCCAGGGGAAUUUAUGUUGUAGCUUCCUUCUUUCAUUUGUCUUACAUCUUCCUGUUCUAAUAUUCUUUCACGGCCUUCUGCUUUCUCUUUCAUCCAUUCCUGCUCUUUGUUUAUUUGUCCUCCACUGCUUCCUUCUUUCUUUCCCCCCCUCCCCCCUUCUCUCUCUUCCACCCCUGUCUCUAGAGACAAGGCGAGUGGCCUGGCUGCCAUCUGCUGCCUGUUUUGAGUGUGUUUGUGCAUGUGUGUUUACCCAAGCUAGGU